AAUGAACGUUGGCGGCGUGGAUUAGGCAUGCAAGUCGAGCGUACCUAGCAAUAGGGAAGCGGCAAACGGGGUAGUAAUGCGUCGGAACGUGCCCUUGGGUCGGGGAUAGCCACGGGAAACUGUGGGUAAUACCCGAUGACAUCGUGAGAUCAAAGGUGUGACUCCGCCCGAGGAGCGGCCGACGUGGUAUUAGGUAGUUGGUAGGGUAAUGGCCUACCAAGCCUAGGAUGCCUAGGGGGUGUGAGAGCAUGGCCCCCCACCAUUGGGACGUGAGAUACUGCCCACGACACCUACGGGUGGCUGCAGUCGAGGAUCUUCGGCAAUGGGCGCAAGCCUGACCGAGCGACGCCGCGUGCGGGA
rnacentral:rRNA from 1 species